GCAGCUAUGAGCAAAGGUGCGUGGGUGAGAGCUGCCUUCUAGCUGCCUCGCUUGGGUCAGCUUCCUGCAUCUGACAGCUCAGGGUUCCCAAAAGAGAAGAGGCACCUGACUACUUCGGCAUGACCAGGAGAAAGGGAGAUGGGAAUUCAGAGAGUGCAGAUACGUGGGAGAGGGAGAGAACCCACUGUGUUCUAGGGGGAGAAACCCUGAAUUGGAAGUCAAGGGACCUGGGUUCACAUCUUUUUACCUUUGAAUCCUCCAGGGCUGAGAUUCUGAGAUUCAAUUAAUUCACAACAAGAACAACCUCAUGGGACCUUCAUAACAUCCAUCUAAGGAUUCUACAAUGGCCAAGAUUUGGCAAGGGAAAAGAGUCCAGGCACCCCUUAUGGACAGGGAUGGGUUCCAAAACCUUGAGUUCUUUUUGGGAUUUCUCUGCGGAACAACAAGGUCCUUUGGCUUCAGCCCCGGGGCUGGGAAGGAAGACUCAAAGGCACCCGAACUCACUCUCACACAGACACACAGAAGAACCCAAAUCCGAGGCAGGAAGAAUGGAUUUGUUCAAACUGUAGGACUGAGAAAUCCCUUCUCAGGUUACCUGAACACAGGCUCUCUGGUUCAUAGAGUAUAAGGGACCUUAGAACACAGAGUGUUAGAGCUGAUGAGGCCUCAGAGCACAGAAUGAUUAAGCUAGAAGGGGCCUUGGAACACAGAAUGUCAGAGCAGGUCGGGGCGGGGGGAGGGAUGUAAGAACACAGAAUGUUCAAGCUAAGGGAACUUGGAACACAAUAUCAGAGUGGGGGGAAUGUCAGAACAUGGAAUAUCAGAUUGGGGUAGCAGGAUGUUAGAGCACAGAAUGUUCAAGCUGGAAGGGACCUUGGAACACAGAAUAUCAGAGCUGGGUGGGGAGGCAUACAAAAUAUCAGAGCUGGGGGAAGAAUGUUAGGACACAAUGUGCAAGCUAAAGGAACUUGGAACACAGUAUCAGAGUGGGGGGAAUGUCAGAACAUGGAAUAUCAGAUCGGGGUGGGGGAAUGUUAGAGCACAGAAUGUUCAAGCUAGAAGGGACCUUGGAACACAGAAUGUCAGAGUGGUGGUGGGGGGGGAAUGUAAGAACACAAAAUGUUCAAACUAAGGGAACUUGGAACACAGAAUGUCAGAGCAGUUGUGGGGGUUGGGGGAUGUUAAAACGCAGAAUGAUCCAGCUAGAAGGGACCUUGGAACACAAUAUCAGAGCUGGGGGGAGAUGUUAGACCAUGGAAUGUUAGAGCUGGGGGGAGAUUAGAAUAUGGAAUGUCAGAGCUGGAGUGGAUGUUGGAACAGGAAAUGUCAGAGAUGGGGGAACCUUUGUUUUCCCAUCUGUGAAAUGAAGAUAUUCGUCUAGAACAGGGAUUCUUAACUGUUUUUUUUUUGUCAUGGAUCCUCUGGAAGUUAGUUUGGUGAAGCCUGUGGAUCCCUUCUCAAGAAUACUGUUUUUAAAUACAUAAAAUAAAAUUACAAGAUUACAAAGGAAAUCA
rnacentral:lncRNA from 1 species